UUGCACUGUUCGUAACCUGCUAACAGUAUCUUUCUGAUAAUGGGUUCCAUUCCAGUGCUACAUAAUACCCCAAGGUAACAGAAGGCUGGCUGUUUGUUUGCUUGUCUCUUUUUAUUUUGGGGGACAUAA